rnacentral:rRNA from 1 species
GACGAACGCUGGCGGCGUGCCUAAUACAUGCAAGUAGAACGCUGAAGAGAGGAGCUUGCUCUUCUUGGAUGAGUUGCGAACGGGUGAGUAACGCGUAGGUAACCUGCCUUGUAGCGGGGGAUAACUAUUGGAAACGAUAGCUAAUACCGCAUAACAAUGGAUGACACAUGUCAUUUAUUUGAAAGGGGCAAUUGCUCCACUACAAGAUGGACCUGCGUUGUAUUAGCUAGUAGGUGAGGUAACGGCUCACCUAGGCGACGAUACAUAGCCGACCUGAGAGGGUGAUCGGCCACACUGGGACUGAGACACGGCCCAGACUCCUACGGGAGGCAGCAGUAGGGAAUCUUCGGCAAUGGGGGCAACCCUGACCGAGCAACGCCGCGUGAGUGAAGAAGGUUUUCGGAUCGUAAAGCUCUGUUGUAAGUCAAGAACGAGUGUGAGAGUGGAAAGUUCACACUGUGACGGUAGCUUACCAGAAAGGGACGGCUAACUACGUGCCAGCAGCCGCGGUAAUACGUAGGUCCCGAGCGUUGUCCGGAUUUAUUGGGCGUAAAGCGAGCGCAGGCGGUUUGAUAAGUCUGAAGUUAAAGGCUGUGGCUCAACCAUAGUUCGCUUUGGAAACUGUCAAACUUGAGUGCAGAAGGGGAGAGUGGAAUUCCAUGUGUGGCGGUGAAAUGCGUAGAUAUAUGGAGGAACACCGGUGGCGAAAGCGGCUCUCUGGUCUGUAACUGACGCUGAGGCUCGAAAGCGUGGGGAGCGAACAGG